rnacentral:rRNA from 1 species
GAUCUGCCGGAGGUCACUGCUAUUGGGAUUCGACUAAGCCAUGCGAGUCGAGAGGGUUCGGCCCUCGGCUGACGGCUCAGUAACACGUGGAUAAUCUGCCUUAGGUGGAGGAUACCCUCGGGAAACUGAGAAUAAUACUCCAUAGGUCUAGGAUGCUGGAAUGCAUCUAGACUGAAAACUCCGGUGCCUAAGGAUGAGUCUGCGGACUAUCAGGUUGUAGUCAGGGUAAAGACCUGACUAGCCUACGACGGAUAUGGGUUGUGAGAGCAAUAACCCAGAGAUGAUAUCUGAGACACGAUAUCAGGCCCUACGGGGCGCAGCAGGCGCGAAAACUUCACACUGUGCGAAAGCACGAUGAGGGAAUCCCAAGUGCCAGCUCGUAAGAGUUGGCUGUUUUUCUGUCUAAAACACAGAGAGAGUAAGAGCUGGGUAAGACGGGUGCCAGCCGCCGCGGUAAUACCUGCAGCUCGAGUGGUGACCGUUAUUAUUGGGCCUAAAACGUCCGUAGCCGGUUUAGUAAAUGCCUGGGUAAAUCGUGUAGCUUAACUAUACGAAUUCCGGGUAGACUGCUAAGCUUGAGACCGGGAGAGGCUAGAGGUACUCCUGGGGUAGAGGUGAAAUUCUGUAAUCCUGGGGGGACCACCAGUGGCGAAGGCGUCUAGCUAGAACGGAUCUGACGGUGAGGGACGAAGCCCUGGGGCGCAAACCGGAUUAGAUACCCGGGUAGUCCAGGGUGUAAACGCUGCUUGCUUGAUGUUAGUUGGGCUCCGAGCCCAAUUAGUGUCGGAGAGAAGUUGUUAAGCAAGCUGCCUGGGAAGUACGGCCGCAAGACUGAAACUUAAAGGAAUUGGCGGGGGAGCACAGCAACGGGUGGAGCGUGCGGUUUAAUUGGAAUCAACGCCGGU